rnacentral:rRNA from 1 species
CCCAGACUCCUACGGGAGGCAGCAGUGGGGGAUAUUGCACAAUGGGGGGAACCCUGAUGCAGCGACGCCGCGUGGGUGAAGGAGUAUUUCGGUAUGUAAAGCCCUAUCGGCAGGGAAGAAGCAAGACGGUACCUGACUAAGAAGCCCCGGCUAACUACGUGCCAGCAGCCGCGGUAAUACGUAGGGGGCAAGCGUUAUCCGGAUUUACUGGGUGUAAAGGGAGCGUAGACGGCGGGGCAAGUCUGGAGUGAAAGGCCAGGGCCCAACCCCGGGACCGCUCUGGAAACUGCCCGGCUGGAGUGCGGGAGAGGUAAGCGGAACUCCUAGUGUAGCGGUGAAAUGCGUAGAUAUUAGGAGGAACACCAGCGGCGAAGGCGGCUUACUGGACCGUGACUGACGUUGAGGCUCGAAAGCGUGGGGAGCAAACAGGAUUAGAUACCCUCGUA